rnacentral:rRNA from 1 species
GAUGAACGCUAGCUACAGGCUUAACACAUGCAAGUCGAGGGGCAGCGCAGUGUAGCAAUACAUGGGCGGCGACCGGCGCACGGGUGCGUAACGCGUAUCCAACCUUCCCGUUACUCAGGGAUAGCCUUCCGAAAGGGAGAUUAAUACCUGAUGGUAUCAGAAUUUCGCAUGUUAUUCUGAUUAAAGAUUUAUCGGUAACGGAUGGGGAUGCGUGACAUUAGGUAGAUGGCGGGGUAACGGCCCACCAUGCCUACGAUGUCUAGGGGUUCUGAGAGGAAGGUCCCCCACACUGGAACUGAGACACGGUCCAG